rnacentral:lncRNA from 1 species
GGCCAAGCCUAAGGAAAAAAGCCAGAGAAGAUAAAUGGGCAGAUAAUGGUUAGAGGACCAGAGAUCACAGAAUGCUGUGGAAGGAGGAUCUC